rfam:Callithrix jacchus chromosome 7, whole genome shotgun sequence
GCUGGGUGCAGUGGCGCACCCUGUUAUCCCAGCUCCGUGGGACACUGAGGCAGGAGGAUGGCUUGAGUCCAAGAGUUCUGGGCCAUAGUGCACUAUGUCCAUCAGGUGUCUGUUCACACUAAGUUUUGCAUCCAUAUGGUGCCCUCCUGGGAGCUGGGGGACCACCAGGUUGACUAAGGAGUGGUGAAUUAGCCCAGGUUGGAAUCUGAGCAGGUUAAAACUCCUGUGCUGAUCAGUAGUAAAACUGUGCCUGUGAAUAGCCACUGCACUCUGGCCUGGAUAACAUAGUGAGACCCUGUCUCUU